rnacentral:rRNA from 1 species
UAAAACGUAGGAGGCGAGCGUUAUCCGGAGUUACUGGGCGUAAAGAGCGUGUAGGCGGGUACGCAAGUCUGGCGUGAAAGCUCCCGGCUAAACUGGGAGAGUGCGCUGGAGACUGCGUGUCUAGAGGCGAGUAGAGGGACGUGGAAUUCCGGGUGUAGUGGUGAAAUGCGUAGAGAUCCGGAGGAACACCAGUGGCGAAGGCGACGUCCUGGGCUUGACCUGACGCUGAGACGCGACAGCACGGGGAGCGAACGGGAUUAGAAACCCCGGUAGUCCGUGCCGUAAACGAUGCACACUAGAUUGUAGACUUGACAUGGGUUUAUAAUCGAAGCAAAAGUGUUAAGUACCCCGCCUGGGGAGUAUGGUCGCAAGGCUG